rnacentral:rRNA from 1 species
GUGUCCUACGGGGCGCAGCAGUGAGGAAUAUUGGUCAAUGGGCGCGAGCCUGAACCAGCCAAGUCGCGUGAGGGAAGACGGUCCUAUGGGUUGUAAACCUCUUUUGUCGGGGAGCAAAAGACGCCACGUGUGGCGUUCCGAGAGUACCCGAAGAAAAAGCAUCGGCUAACUCCGUGCCAGCAGCCGCGGUAAUACGGAGGAUGCGAGCGUUAUCCGGAUUUAUUGGGUUUAAAGGGUGCGCAGGCGGAAGAUCAAGUCAGCGGUAAAAUUGAGAGGCUCAACUUCUUCGAGCCGUUGAAACUGGU